rnacentral:rRNA from 1 species
GCCUAACACAUGCAAGUGGAGCGACGAACCAGGCUUCGGCCUGGGGCAAAGCCGCGAACGGGUGAGUAACACGUGGGUGACCUACCCCGAAGACCGGGAUAACCCGAGGAAACUCGGGCUAAUACCGGAUGUGCUCCGUCUGCUGCGGCAGGCGGUGGAAAGGUAGCUUCGGCUUCCGCUUCGGGAUGGGCCCGCGGCCCAUUAGCUAGUUGGUGAGGUAACGGCUCACCAAGGCGACGAUGGGUAGCUGGUCUGAGAGGAUGGCCAGCCACACUGGGACUGAGACACGGCCCAGACUCCUACGGGAGGCAGCAGUGGGGAAUCUUGGGCAAUGCGCGAAAGCGUGACCCAGCGACGCCGCGUGGGGGAAGAAGGCCUUCGGGUCGUAAACCCCUUUCAGGAGGGACGAAGCCCGGUCCGUGAAUAGCGGUCCCGGGUGACGGUACCUCCAGAAGAAGCCCCGGCUAACUACGUGCCAGCAGCCGCGGUAAUACGUAGGGGGCGAGCGUUGCCCGGAAUCAUUGGGCGUAAAGCGCGCGUAGGCGGCCCGGUAAGUCCGCUGUGAAAGCCCGGGGCUCAACCCCGGGAGGCCGGCGGAUACUGUCGGGCUAGAGUCCGGAAGAGGCGGGUGGAAUUCCCGGUGUAGCGGUGAAAUGCGCAGAUAUCGGGAGGAACACCGAUGGCGAAGGCAGCCCGCUGGGACGGUACUGACGCUGAGGCGCGAAAGCGUGGGGAGCGAACAGGAUUAGAUACCCUGGUAGUCCACGCCGUAAACGAUGGGCACUAGGUGUGGGGGGUAGCCGACUCCCUCCGUGCCGAAGCUAACGCAUUAAGUGCCCCGCCUGGGGAGUACGGCCGCAAGGCUA